rnacentral:rRNA from 1 species
GACGAACGCUGGCGGCGUGCCUAACACAUGCAAGUCGAGCGAGCUGAUUCCUUCGGGGUGAAGCUAGCGGCGGACGGGUGAGUAACACGUGGGCAACCUGCCUCAUAGAGGGGAAUAGCCUUCCGAAAGGAAGAUUAAUACCGCAUAAGAUUGUAGCUUCGCAUGAAGCAGCAAUUAAAGGAGUAAUCCGCUAUGAGAUGGGCCCGCGGCGCAUUAGCUAGUUGGUGAGGUAACGGCUCACCAAGGCGACGAUGCGUAGCCGACCUGAGAGGGUGAUCGGCCACAUUGGGGCUGAGACACGGCCCAGACUCCUACGGGAGGCAGCAGUGGGGAAUAUUGCACAAUGGGGGAAACCCUGAUGCAGCAAUGCCGCGUGAGUGAUGACGGCCUUCGGGUUGUAAAGCUCUGUCUUCGGGGACGAUAAUGACGGUACCCGAGGAGGAAGCCACGGCUAACUACGUGCCAGCCGCCGCAGUAA